rnacentral:rRNA from 1 species
CCUACGGGGGGCAGCAGUGGGGAAUAUUGCACAAUGGGGGGAACCUUGAUGCAGCAACGCCGCGUGGGUGAAGAAGUACUCCGGUAUGUAAAGCCCUGUCAGCAGGGAAGAAAAUGACGGUACCUGACCAAGAAGCCCCGGCUAACUACGUGCCAGCAGCCGCGGUAAUACGUAGGGGGCAAGCGUUAUCCGGAUUUACUGGGUGUAAAGGGAGCGUAGACGGCAAGGCAAGUCUGGAGUGAAAGCCCGUGGCCCAACCACGGGACUGCUUUGGAAACUGUGUUGCUGGAGUGCAGGAGGGGUAAGCGGAAUUCCUAGUGUAGCGGUGAAAUGCGUAGAUAUUAGGAGGAACACCGGCGGCGAAGGCGGCCUGCUGGACCGCGACUGACGUUGAGGCUCGAAAGCGUGGGGAGCGAACAGGAUUAGAUACCCCUGUAGUC